rnacentral:lncRNA from 1 species
CUUAUGACAAUUAAUGUUUAUCAUUGAUGUUUAUCAUUAUCAAUGAUGGCAAUGCAUUUUUCUAUCAAGUAUAACAGAGUUUCGCUUGCGUGGAUUGAGAGAUGUUAAACAGUAUUGAAGGGUCUGCUAUCGAUUUUUUUGUUUGGUAAUGGGAAGUUUGUUGUGUAUCAAGAGUUAAGUGAUUUUGAAUUUUUUAACUUAAUAAAUCAUUCUUAUAUUUAGUAAUCUCUAAUGGGUUUUUUAGUUAUGGUGCUAAAUAUCUAAUGCAUUUUCAUUUAUUUUUUAUUGCAAGGUUUUAACAAUAAUGGCAAUUUGCUACUGUGGAUAUUUAUGUUAAAGACCUCAAGAUUAUAUUUAUUAAUUCAGUAAUUACAGUUAAAUGUUAAACAACAUGAUGAAAACUACAUGGUUGCUUCAGUGGAUGUUGAUCUUUUUCAUAUCAAGAUUAAACCGAUAUCAUUGGAUGUGGUUUCCUUUGCGUACUAAAGAAUCGACUCUUUCUAUCUAUGGAUGU